GUGGACGUGCCGGAGUGGUUAUCGGGCAUGACUAGAAAUCAUGUGGGUUCGCCCGCGCAGGUUCGAAUCCUGCCGUCCACG
rfam:Daucus carota subsp. sativus cultivar DH1 chromosome 3, whole genome shotgun sequence.